GGAUAUGAGGGCGAUCUGGCUGUGAUAUCUAUCACCCCAGUGAAUGCCAGGGUUGAUUCGGCUGAUCUGGCUAGCUAUGUGGGUGUCUCCUUCCUCCCUCAUGGCUCCAUGUGGGUCACUUCCAAAGCUGCAUGCUUGGUCGAAAAGGACGACUGUCCCCCGAUAGAGGAGGACCGUUCUUUGGUCAAGGGUAUAGAGUAGCCGCACUCCCCCGCUAGAACCUCCAAACAAACUCUCAUUAAUGAGUCCUAAAUCAUUAAUUCUCUUUAUUCCUUAUAUACCAUUUCUAAUCUAUCAGAAAUUCUAUUGGU
rnacentral:snRNA from 1 species